GACGAACGCUGGCGGCGUGCCUAAUACAUGCAAGUCGAGCGGAUUGAUGGGAGCUUGCUCCCUGAUAUCAGCGGCGGACGGGUGAGUAACACGUGGGCAACCUGCCUAUAAGACUGGGAUAACUUCGGGAAACCGGAGCUAAUACCGGAUAACCCCUUUCCUCUCAUGAGGAAAGGCUGAAAGAUGGUUUACGCUAUCACUUAUAGAUGGGCCCGCGGCGCAUUAGCUAGUUGGUGAGGUAACGGCUCGCCAAGGCAACGAUGCGUAGCCGACCUGAGAGGGUGAUCGGCCACACUGGGACUGAGACACGGCCCAGACUCCUACGGGAGGCAGCAGUAGGGAAUCUUCCGCAAUGGACGAAAGUCUGACGGAGCAACGCCGCGUGAGUGAUGAAGGUUUCGGAUCGUAAAACUCUGUUGUUAGGGAAGAACAAGUACGAGAGUAACUGCUCGUACCUUGACGGUACCUAACCAGAAAGCCACGGCUAACUACGUGCCAGCCGCCGCAGUAA
rnacentral:rRNA from 1 species